rnacentral:rRNA from 1 species
CGGAUUGGCAUGGGCGAAAGCCUGAUCAGCAAUGCCGCGUGUGUGAAGAAGGCCUUCGGGUUGUAAAGCACUUUUGUCCGGAAAGAAAUCCUUUGGGUUAAUACCUGGGGUCGAUGACGGUACCGGAAGAAUAAGGACCGGCUAACUACGUGCCAGCAGCCGCGGUAAUACGUAGGGUCCAAGCGUUAAUCGGAAUUACUGGGCGUAAAGCGUGCGCAGGCGGUUGUGCAAGACCGAUGUGAAAUCCCCGAGCUUAACUUGGGAAUUGCAUUGGUGACUGCACGGCUAGAGUGUGUCAGAGGGGGGUAGAAUUCCACGUGUAGCAGUGAAAUGCGUAGAGAUGUGGAGGAAUACCGAUGGCGAAGGCAGCCCCCUGGGAUAACACUGACGCUCAUGCACGAAAGCGUGGG